CGUGAAAUCUUGCUUUUUUUUUCCAGCUGCAACACUCGGCGGGAGGGUUGGUUUUGAUCGUUGCAGAUAUUUUGUUUUUAACCCCAGUUAUUGUGUAGAGCUACAACCACAAGGUUUGAGCUUCUGUUGAAAAAAAAGAUGAGCAUCGCUGAACACUCAGGAAGGGAGACCAGUGUUUGAACAGCUGUUUGGGAAACUGAAGGCUAUUGCUGUUGUGCUGAAGUUUUCAGAAUGGAAAGAAAAUAACUUUGCAGCGUGAUCUAUACAAUUAUGUGUUUCUGAACCUGGGAACCUUAAUCAUGAGAAAGCCUGCAAGUUCCUGCUAGUGAAGCAAGGACAAGGUUUCAUGUACAAUUAGUGAUUGUUACUCAACAGCCAGCUCCCUGCGUCCAAUGAAGGGCAAACCUAAUUUCACCAAAAGAAAAGACUUCAGUGACACAUGGACCAUGAACCAAGCCAGCCACAAUCCCAGGACAAAUGUUUACUUGUUCCACAGUCUGGAAAACAGAAAGAACAAUGAGGAUUACUAUGAUGACAAAUCACUGAUUGCACAGCCUAUAUUUGUUUUCAAGAAGAAAGAUCGACCUUGCAAGAGAUCUGCAGAAGACUAUGAAUGCAAGACUGAAAAUGUUUUCAUUGGUUGUUCCAGAAAACGGGCAAGAGCUUCCACAUUUUCUUUUCAAACAUCUACUUCCUCAUCUUACAGAGUGAAGAACAACAUAUUUAUGACAUCGACCUUAUUGCACAAGGACCCUGAUGUGAACGUCACGGAAAAAGGUCUUUCAUCGCCAGCUGUACAACAGGUUGUUUUAAGACCUGCCAUUUUACAGCCUCCACAAGCUCCUUUGUGUAGAAAAAUAAUGGGUAUAGGUAUUGAAAAUAUUCUGGCGGAUGAACACAAAGCAAACACUGAGGAAUCGGAAGAGAUUAAUUCCCUCAGAAACCGCUCAGAACACUUUUCCGAUGCUGAACCAAUGAACAACCAGCUAGCUGAAAACCAAACGCCUUCAAAUGAAAAACAUCUUAACUUUGUGUUUGGAGAAAAUAUAGUAGAAAGAGUGCUGAGGCCUCAGCAAUUUCCAGAACUUUAUUCUGCAAGUGAGUCACGUAAUAGUGAAGAAGCAGCAGCAUUCACAAUAGAUUCUCCUACAAGUUCUCCAAGAUGGGCAACACCAAUUGUUGCCGAGAAGACAACACUAGUAGAAUCAGCUGCUGCUUACACUGCUAAGAAACCAACACAGCAAUAUUUAUUAGAUAAAGUUGAAGUUAGUACUGGAGAAGAAGCAGAACACAAUGUGUUGCAGAUCAACUGCAAGCUGUUCUUAUUUAAUAAAGCUUCUAUGUCCUGGAUUGAAAGAGGAAGCGGCUCUUUGAGACUUAACGACACAUCCAGCAGCCAGUGUGGGAUGCUAGAGUCACGACUGGUCAUGCGAAAUCAAGGAAGUAUGAGACUCAUUCUCAAUGCUAAACUCUGGACCCAAAUGAUCAUUCAAAGAGCAAACCGGAAAAGUCUGUGCCUCACAGCAACAGAUCUGGAGGACCAUUCUGUCAAGGUGUUUCUAGUGCAGGCAAGUUCAAAAGACAUCGGUUCUCUGCAUGCAGCAAUCCAUCAUCGCCUGGUGGCGCUACGGAGCUUUGCUGAACAGGAAUGCGAAGCAAGCCAGGGGGAGCCAGAGUUGCUAAACUGUGACAGUGAUGAUGAAGAAAACAAAAAAAUAAGUCACAUGAAGGAUACUGAAUCAGACUGCAAUUUGCUGGCUCUUCUCACACAUGCCUGACUCCUCAGCUGGUGGAGUUCUGGUGGACAAAUCACAUAUGAAUUCCUCAGGUUUUCAGAAAACUGCCUCCCAGCAUUUAGCUCCCACUGAUGGAGAAUUGCCCGAAAACCCUUCUGAUCAUUCUCGAUGGAUCCGCAGACAGCCCGUGGUUUGCUCGUGACAAUGUACUACCUCUAAUUCAAGCAAUAACAAUGGAAACUCAGUGAUCUCAUGGCUGUGAGGAAGUUCUCUGCAUUUCCUUUAUUAGUAAUGAGGCCAAGAUUACCUUUUCCAGGUUGACAUGAGAAGCAAUAUAUUGAGGAUAUGUGAAGAUGCACUUUAAGGAUUCCCAUUAUCAUUCCUCUUCCUUGGCUAAGAUAGGUAUCAGAGAGCAGCCCCGGUUCUUUCAGAAGUGUGUUUUAUAAAAGUUUCAAGUUUUGCUAUGAAUCAACUGUAAGAAACAUUUUAAAGAAAAAGAUCACCCCAGUCCAGCUUCGUUCAUCACAUUGAUGGAAUCCUUCUUUCUAAAUAGAUUUAUCUAUACUCUGGCAGUCUGUGAAAAUCUGCACAAAAUCCACUUUGGACAAAUUUUUAAACAUGCCCAAAUACUUUGUGUAUAGUAGGGCUAUUGUAGACAAUCCCUCCAUCCAGCAAAUAUGGUCACAGUGAGAAAGCUGGACUAUAAACGAAAAUAAUAAUCUACGUGUAGAAACAGAACUUUGCAGAUGAAUAUAUGACACACCCGGGAGACGUGGGAAAAGACUAUACAGCAAUCCAGUAAUGCAUAUUUGACUCCGUAAGAUCCCUCUGUGCUCGAAACCUACGGAUUGUACAUUUUAUUACAGGGGACAACAAUCUAGUCUAGGUCUAUAAAUAUAACAAUUGUUUCAUUAAAAUUGUAUUUUUUUUCCUUUGUAAAAUGUGCUACAUUAUCAGCUGUACAUAUAACAUGAAGGGUGUCCCACAGUGCAAUCCUCUAAAAGUAACCCAAGUCUAAACCCAUUGAAAUCAAUUACCCUCAAGUGACUCUACAGAGGACUGUUCUCUGAUUGUUCUCAAUUGACAUCACCACCCGUACAGUCUUGUGGAUGCUUUUCUGGGAGUCAGCCAGUGGUGGGAUUCAAAUAAUUUAACAACCGGUUCCGGUGGUGGGAUUAAAAUAAUUUAACAACUGUUUGUUUACAAGCACCAUUUUAACAACUGGUUCUGCCAAAGUGGUGCGAACCUGCUGAAUCGCACCACUGGAGUCAGCCCCACUGAGUGGGAUUCUGGGUACCAAAAAAAAUGUUGACAGAGAGAAUUUUUUCUCUCUUUCUCAAAAUACUAGAACCAGGGGGCAUCCAUUGAAAAUGCU